GAACACUCCAAGUGCUUUGGUUUCUUUCCAGAUAAUUUGUAACAUUGUUUUAGAAUGGCUUGCCAUCUUUCCUUGGGUAUCUGCACUGCAUCCAGCUUCUCCUUAAGGCUGCAUCUGGCUUCUUCAUUGAGUGCCAUCUGCUGAUUCUCUCAGCCAAUAAAAGCAGCCAUGCAUUGCCCUGCUUGACUCAGUGAAGCUAACUGGAUUCUCCUGCCAGGCAACCUGAAAGCAGAGCUAUGGUUGCAUGUGCCCAGCAGGACCAGGUAAAUUGUCAAAACCAUUCUAGAAUGAAUUUGUCUGUCAUGUCAGGCACCAUAACCACUCUUAAGGUCCAUAAUGGUUAUGGUGCUUGGAGUGUUCCUUUGAGAGAAG